AUCGAACGCUAGCGGGAUGCCUUACACAUGCAAGUCGAACGGAGUGGCGAACGGGCGAGUAAUGAAUCGGAACGUGCACAGCAGCGGGGGAUAACUACGCGAAAGCGAAGCUAAUAUCGCAUACUAUUUGAGCGGCCGAUUUCGGAUUAGCUGGUUGGUGGGGUAACGGCUCACCAGGGCGACGAUCCGUAGGUGGUUUGCGAGGACGACUAGCCCCCCUGGGACUGAGACACGGCCCAGACUCCUACGGGAGGCAGCAGUGGGGAAUUUUGGGCAAUGGGGGAAACCCUGAUCCAGCGAUCCCGCGUGUGCGAUGAAGGCCUUCGGGUUGUAAAGCACUUUUGGCAGGAAAGCGGUACCUGCAGAAUAAGCACCGGCUAACUACGUGCCAGCAGCCGCGGUAAUAC
rnacentral:rRNA from 1 species